rnacentral:rRNA from 1 species
AACCUGCGGAAGGAUCAUUGUCGACGCGUUGAGAGAACGAAGCGAAUCGGUGACCAGAUUGUAGGGUGGCCUAGGGGCAGCUUCUGCUGCCUCUGCCGGCCCCCUCUCCCUCUGCGCUCGUCUUUCCCGCCUCCCCCUGCUCGCGGGGGGCAGGCCGGGUCCGCACGAGCCUCAACGAACCCUCGACGCGGGCCGCGUCAAGGACUACCGGAUUGACCAUUACAGGGCGCGACCCCAGCUGGGCCUCGUCUCCGUGCGAUGCGCAUGCUGCUUCGCGUCCCUGUCGGAACAUGAUAAUGAUGACUCUCGGCAACGGAUAUCUAGGCUCUCGCAUCGAUGAAGAACGUAGCGAAAUGCGAUACUUGGUGUGAAUUGCAGAAUCCCGUGAACCAUCGAGUCUUUGAACGCAAGUUGCGCCCGGAGCCGUCAGGCCGAGGGCACGUCUGCCUGGGCGUCGCACGUACCUUCGCUCCUCUGCCCGCACCUUCCGGAUGCGCGGUUCGGGGAGUCGGAUAUUGGCCAUCCGUGCGGUGGAAUCACGGUUGGCUUGAUGUCUGCCUGCAUGCGCGUCCGCAUCACGACGGGUGGUGAUCGUUCAUGAGAUGCCCGUGUACGUCGUGAUCGUCGCGCUGCCUUUUUCCCAUUGGUCGCCCGUCGGAACAAGGGCACGUUACCGUGCCCUCCCCAACCGUACGGACCCCAGGUCAGGCGAGGCCACCCGCUGAGUUUAA